GUGUGUAUGUCUGUGUGUGUGUGUAUGUCAGUGUGUCUGUGUGUGUAUGUCAGUAUGUCUGUCAUAGACACACACAGACAUACUGACAUACAUACACAAACAGACAU